rnacentral:rRNA from 1 species
GGUUAAGCGACUAAGCGUACACGGUGGAUGCCCUGGCAGUCAGAGGCGAUGAAGGACGUGCUAAUCUGCGAUAAGCGCCGGUAAGGUGAUAUGAACCGUUAUAACCGGCGAUUUCCGAAUGGGGAAACCCAGUGUGACUCGUCACACUAUCAUUAACUGAAUCCAUAGGUUAAUGAGGCGAACCGGGGGAACUGAAACAUCUAAGUACCCCGAGGAAAAGAAAUCAACCGAGAUUCCCCCAGUAGCGGCGAGCGAACGGGGAGGAGCCCAGAGCCUGAAUCAGCAUGUGUGUUAGUGGAAGCGUCUGGAAAGGCGCGCGAUACAGGGUGACAGCCCCGUACACAAAAGCGCAUAUGCUGUGAGCUCGAUGAGUAGGGCGGGACACGUGGUAUCCUGUCUGAAUAUGGGGGGACCAUCCUCCAAGGCUAAAUACUCCUGACUGACCGAUAGUGAACCAGUACCGUGAGGGAAAGGCGAAAAGAACCCCGGCGAGGGGAGUGAAAAAGAACCUGAAACCGU